UACCGUGACCCCAUAGCCAAGUACUG
rnacentral:piRNA from 1 species